GCGGCCUAUCAGCUUGUUGGUGAGGUAAUGGCUCACCAAGGCGACGACGGGUAGCCGGCCUGAGAGGGUGACCGGCCACACUGGAACUGAGACACGGUCCAGACUCCUACGGGAGGCAGCAGUGGGGAAUAUUGCACAAUGGGCGAAAGCCUGAUGCAGCAACGCCGCGUGAGGGAUGAAGGCCUUCGGGUUGUAAACCUCUUUUAGUUGGGAAGAAGCGAAAGUGACGGUACCAACAGAAAAAGCACCGGCUAACUACGUGCCAGCAGCCGCGGUAAUACGUAGGGUGCAAGCGUUGUCCGGAAUUAUUGGGCGUAAAGAGCUCGUAGGCGGUUUGUCGCGUCUGCUGUGAAAAUCCGAGGCUCAACCUCGGACCUGCAGUGGGUACGGGCAGACUAGAGUGCGGUAGGGGAGACUGGAAUUCCU
rnacentral:rRNA from 1 species